rnacentral:lncRNA from 1 species
AUCCUAUCAUAUGAUCCAGACUAGCAUAAAAAAUAUUGUCUACCCAAUCCUUACAGCUGGAAUUACUCCAGGUUUCUUGAGAUGUGAAAUGAUUUACCAAGCAAGAAUGGCUGUCUCCAGAAUUUUGUCAGAAAGCUGGAAUUUACAUGGCGUUGCAAUUGAAAGAAGAUGAAGAACGUAAUUCUGAGGUACCUUCUCAGAAGUAAAAAUAAAAG